rnacentral:rRNA from 1 species
UACAGAGACUGCAAGCGUUAUUCGGAUUCACUGGGCGUAAAGGGUGCGCAGGCGGCCAGGUGUGUUAGGCGUGAAAGCCCGGGGCUUAACCCCGGAAUUGCACCUAAAACUACUUGGCUAGAGCAUUGGAGAGGGUAGCGGAAUUCACGGUGUAGCAGUGAAAUGCGUGGAUAUCGUGAGGAACACCAGAGGCGAAGGCGGCUACCUGGACAAUUGCUGACGCUCAGGCACGAAAGCGUGGGGAGCAAAAGGG